rnacentral:lncRNA from 1 species
ACUGAGGGCACUGUGUGGGCCAGGUUGGCUUUGGGCAGGGGGAUCAGAACAGCUGAUGUCUCAGAUUUCCUUCAUCCCAAGGAUUCUGUGAUUUCUUAAGUGCCCACACACCAAGGGCAGUUGUAAGCAGAACAUGGGCUGUGGUCCCUGCCUGUGAGGGGCCCCUCCUCAGAACUCCUCUCCCUCCCAGAGCCCUGACUGUGUAUUGUCUACUUCAGCGCAGAAGCCUCGAACUCUGUGCCUUGCUUCCUCCUCAGCGCCAGUGCUGCCUCCUAGCCAGGCAUUUCCAAGUGAGCAUCAACACUGGAUAAUGGCUUCUGGCUCUGCCUCCUGCAUCUCCUCCACCUGCCCUCAAGUCCAGGACCUCCUUACUGAUUUUCUAGAACUAUCACUUGAUACCACAGGCUCCCUCUCUAGAUCCGGAGGAUGGUCCAAUAACAUGUAACGUCUGGCUUCCCUGGUGCCCCCACCACCCUUCGUUCAGGAUAUGCCUGUGAGCGUUCUUCAGCCUAAUUGAAUAAUGGAACCACACUGAUCCUUUCUUCCGAGGUCCAGGGGCACUGUUUCCUCUCCACUCCAGUUCAGCUUGGGAAUGUUGACUUUGGAAAACAGCACCGAAAGCACUCUGGCUGCAAUUUCCAAAUCAGAAACAGCCUCCGAAUCCUUACUUAGCAGAGAGUAAGACACCCUGGAAGGAAGAGCGGUCUGUUUAGGCUUUGAGGGCCUAGAACCUCUUCUCUGCGCGGAGCCUCCAGGGAGGAUGUGAGGUCAUCACAUCCAGCUCACAUCCACAAAUGGGAACCUUCUGUGUGUUCUGGGAUUUAGAGAUACAUAAAAUAAGUCUUCGCUCCUAGUCAUUCCUGGUGCAGCAGAGGAGAUUCACACAAAUGGUUAGCUUGGCCACUAGGCAUUAAGACAAUGGGGCCCAGCAUAAGGAAGCUCGGGUAGGCUCCCUGGGGGAGUGGGGUCUGAUCCAGGUCUUAGAGGAUAAGAAGGACAUCGUAGUUAGACAAAGGCAGGGAGAAGUGAGAUCCAAGAAAACAACAGUUUUUGAGGACAUGUGACACUGGGGUGGCUGUUCCUUCCUGGUGCUCUCCAAGGUCUCGCUGACCAAACCUUCUCAGCAACAAUAG